GAUGAAGAACGUAGCGAAAUGCGAUACGUAAUGUGAAUUGCAGAAUUCAGUGAAUCAUCGAGUCUUUGAACGCACAUUGCGCCCCCUGGUAUUCCGGGGGGCAUGCCUGUCCGAGCGUCAUUGCUGCCCUCAAGCCCGGCUUGUGUGUUGGGCCUUGCUCCCCCGGGGGCAGGCCCGAAAGGCAGUGGCGGCACCGCGUCCGAUCCUCGAGCGUAUGGGGCUUUGUCACCCGCUCUGUAGGCCCGGCCGGCGCUUGCCGACCCCAAUCAAUCUUUUUUCAGGUUGACCUCGGAUCAGGUAGGGAUACCCGCUGAACUUAAGCAUAUCAAUAAGCGGAGGA
rnacentral:misc_RNA from 1 species